ensembl:lncRNA
GUUGUCUCUAACCUUCUUGCCCUUUGUGCUGUUGUCUGGGCCCAAUAAUGUUUGUUCCAUGUUUUUGUACUGCUACCAUGUUGUAUUGCUGCCAUGUUGUUGUCAUGUGGUGUUGCUACCGUGCUGUGUUGUCAUGUGUUGCUACCGUGCUGUGUUGUCUUGUGGUGUUGCUACUGUGCUGUGUUGUCGCCUUAGGUCUCUCUUUAUGUAGUGUUGUGUUGUCUUAGGUCUCUCUUUAUGUAGUGUUGUGUUGUCUUAGGUCUCUCUUUAUGUAGUGUAGUGUUGUCUUAGGUCUCUCUUUAUGUAGUGUUGUGUUGUCUUAGGUCUCUCUUUAUGUAGUGUUGUGGUGUCUCUCUUUAUGUAGUGUUGUGGUGUCUUAGGUCUCUCUUUAUGUAGUGUUGUCUUAGGUCUCUCUUUAUGUAGUGUUGUGUUGUCUUAGGUCUCUCUUUAUGUAGUGGUGUCUUAGGUCUCUCUUUAUGUAGUGUUGUGGUGUCUUAGUAGGUCUCUCUUUAUGUAGUGUUGUGUUGUCUCUCUUGUCCUGAAAUGUGUUUUGUCCUAUAUUUGUAUUUUCAAUCCCAGACCCCCCCCGUCCCCCCCGUCCCC